GGGGAAUUUUUCCGCAAUGGGCGAAAGCCUGACGGAGCAAUACCGCGUGAGGGAUGACGGCCUAUGGGUUGUAAACCUCUUUUUUCAGGGAGGAAUCAAUGACGUGUACCUGAAGAAUAAGCAUCGGCUAACU
rnacentral:rRNA from 1 species